UACGGAGGGGGCAAACGUUGUUCGGAAUUACUGGGCGUAAAGCGCGUGUAGGCGGCUAUGUAAGUCGGGCGUGAAAUCCCACGGCUCAACCGUGGAAGUGCACCCGAAACUGCGUAGCUAGAGUCCUGGAGAGGAAGGUGGAAUGCUUGGUGUAGAGGUGAAAUUCGUAGAUAUCAAGCGGAACACCGGUGGCGAAGGCGGCCUUCGGACAGUGACUGACGCUGAGACGCGAAAGCGUGGGGAGCAAACAGG
rnacentral:rRNA from 1 species